UUAGUUACAUGGUGCGAUGCAACAACCUAAAGCUAUUCAAAUACAACAAUCGUAAUUAAAUCUGGUUUAUAUGGGUCCAAAAUUUGGAUAGGGCAUGGCAGAGCAAGUUGUCUCUACUCCAUGUCUCUAUUCCCUUGGAGGCCUGGGUCUCAGAUCACCUGAAGUCUAACUUUCUCACAUGUCUGCCAUUGAUGCUUAGUGGCGCUGUCAGGUGGAACCCCUUCAUGUAGCCCUCUCUGCAUGGCCUGGGCUUCCGCACAACAUGGCUGUUGGGAUCCAAGGACAAGGGAGAAGAGUACUGAAUUAGUUUCCUCUUGAUGUUGUAACAAAUUACCACAAGUUUCGUGGCUUAAACCAACAUGAAUUAUUCUCUUAUUGUUCUGGCAGUCAGAAGUCUGCGAUGAGGCUUACCAGGCUAAAAUCAAGGUACUGGCAGCGAUGUGUUUCUUUUGGAGGCUCCAGGGGAGAAUUUGUUUCCUGGCCUUUUCCAGCUUCUAAAGUUGCAUUCCUUGGCCUGUAGUCCUUUCCUCCAUCUUCAAAGCCAGCAGCAAAGCAUCUUGGCUCAGUGGUCACAUUGCUUUCUUCAUCUGCUUCCCUUUUAUAAGGACAGUUGUGAUUGCAUUUAAUGUCCACCUGAUACCAGGAUCCUUAACUUCAUCAUCUCUGCAAUAUGUUUUUUUUUCCUAUAAGGUAACUUUCACAGAAUGGUGAUUACCAGAGGGUAGGACAUGAGGGAACUGGGGAGAGGUUGGUGAAAGGGCAUAAACUUUCAGCUGUGACUAAGUUCUGGGGAUCUAAAGUAUAAAAUGAUGACUAUAGUUAAUAAUACUGUACUACAUACACGUGAAAUUUGCUAAGGGAGUAGAUCUUAAGUGCUCUUACCAAAAAAAAAAAAAAAGGGUAAUCAUGUGUGGUGAUAGACGUGUUUAUUAACUUAAUCCAGGGAAUCAAUUUUUAAUAUAUUUUUGUAUCAAACCAUCACAUUGUGCACUUUAAAUAUAUUACAAUUUUAUCUGUCAACUAUGCUUCAAUAAAACUGGAGAAAAAAAGGUAGCAGUUACAGAUUACAAGGAUUAGGAUCUACAUAUAUUUGAGGAUCUGUUUUUCAGUCUAUUGCAAUAACUGAGGGUUUUUCUCUCUUUUAGCUGGAUUUAUGGGAAGUCAUAUAGUCGUGCGGUGAUUGCUACAGGUGGAGGUGGAGUAUUGGUGGGUGACAUGGAAUUAUCUGCUCAUGCAGCAUACUUAUGAUUUCUGGUCCUGCUCAAGCCCAGUCUCAGAAAUAUCCUUUCCCUUUUGGAUGGACUGUUGCUGGGCACAUCAGCUUUAUGACUUGGAAUGGAUGCUACAAAUGCCUGACACGUAUGAACAGAUGUCCAUGAACAAGAGACCUACUAUAACCACUCAAGUGUUCAUCACUAGAGAUCAGGCUAUGAAUUCCAGGACAUUUAAGCAAUGGAACCCCAUGCAGCCAUUAAAAAGAGCCCUGGAUACUUUGCCUGGAUUUCUUUAGAUUGGCCGUGGAAACCAAAGCACAGGGAAGUUAGUGCUGUUAUUUUCCAAAGACUGCAAUGGAUAAGGGCAUGUUUUCUGACCUCAGAGAAAGUUGAGAGAUCCUCCCUCACUUCUUGAAUUCUCUUCUCUUACUCAAGGGGAACAAGAUUAGAUGCUCUCUCCAAGAUCUCUACACAACCAGGAAGAGAAGCAAGUGGAAGGAUUGGCAAAAUUGGGAAUAAAGAAAACUUAUUUGGACCUAGAGCUGGCCAAAGUGACAGAUUGUUAACUAUCUUUGGAAUCAGGCUAGUUGGAGUCCCUUAAGAUUUUCCUGAGGGCAUUGUGUCCCCAGAUUCCACAUUUGUCUCAUCUCAGAGGGCAAUUAAGAACAAUUUAUUAGCAGUGAAAUUUUUGUUCUCCCCUCAACUUCAAAUCUUGUGUCUACUCUAGUGACUUCUUCAGGAAAACAAGAACCUAUUAAAAAUAAGAAAGUAAGGCC